rnacentral:tRNA from 1 species
GUAGCAAUAGCUCAAGGGUAGAGCUCCCGCCUCAUACGCGGGAAGACCUGGGUUCGAUUCCGGGCUGCUUUC